rnacentral:rRNA from 1 species
UACGUAGGGGGCAAGCGUUGUCCGGAAUCAUUGGGCGUAAAGAGCGUGUAGGCGGCUUGGUAAGUCCGCUGUGAAAGUCCAGGGCUCAACCCUGGAAUGCCGGUGGAAACUGUCAAGCUUGAGUCCGGAAGAGGCGAGUGGAAUUCCUGGUGUAGCGGUGAAAUGCGCAGAUAUCAGGAGGAACACCAAUGGCGAAGGCAGCUCGCUGGGACGGUACUGACGCUGAGACGCGAAAGCGUGGGGAGUAAACAGG